UAAAAACUUUCAACAACGGAUCUCUUGGUUCCAGCAUCGAUGAAGAACGCAGCGAAAUGCGAUAAGUAAUGUGAAUUGCAGAAUUCAGUGAAUCAUCGAAUCUUUGAACGCACAUUGCGCCCCUCGGUAUUCCGGGGGGCAUGCCUGUUCGAGCG
rnacentral:rRNA from 1 species